rnacentral:rRNA from 1 species
AGUUGAUCCUGGCUUAGGAUGAACGCUAGCUACAGGCUAACACAUGCAAGUCGAGGGGCAGCAUUGGGAUAGCUUGCUAUUCAGAGUGGCGACCGGCGCACGGGUGAGUAACGCGUAUCCAACCGUCCUGCCAGUAGGGAACAGCCCGGCGAAAGUCGGAUUAAUGCCCUAUGUUCUUCAAUGCGGACGAUCUAAGUUGAAGGAAAGAUUCAUCGCUGGCAGAUGGGGAUGCGUCCGAUUAGCUGCCGGCGGGGUAACGGCCCACCGGGGCGACGAUCGGUAGGGGUUCUGAGAGGAAGGUCCCCCACACUGGUACUGAGACACGGACCAGACUCCUACGGGAGGCAGCAGUGAGGAAUAUUGGUCAAUGGGCGUAAGCCUGAACCAGCCAAGUAGCGUGCAAGGAUGACGGCCCUACGGGUUGUAAACUGCUUUUAUGCGGGGAUAAAGUGCGGCACGUGUGCCGCUUUGCAGGUACCGCAUGAAUAAGGACCGGCUAAUUCCGUGCCAGCCGCGGC